rnacentral:tRNA from 1 species
GCCGACGUAGCUCAGGUGGUCAGAGCGCUCCGCUCAUAACGGAGAGGCCACGGGCUCGAAUCCCGUCGUCGGCACCA